GAUGAACGCUGGCGGCGUGCUUAACACAUGCAAGUCGAACGGAAAGGCCCAAGCUUGCUUGGGUACUCGAGUGGCGAACGGGUGAGUAACACGUGGGUGAUCUGCCCUGCACUUCGGGAUAAGCCUGGGAAACUGGGUCUAUUACCGGAUAGGACUAUGGUUUGGAUGCCAUUGUGUACAGUUUUUUCGGUGUGGGAUGAGCUGGCGGCCUAUGAGCUUGUUGGUGGGGUAAUGGCCUACCAAGGCGUCGACGGGUAGCCGGCCUGAGAGGGUGUACGGCCACGCGAGGACUGAGACACAGAUUGGACUCGUGCGACAGGCAGGAGUGCUGAGGGAUGGAGAAGGGGCGAAUGUUGGACACUGGAAUGAAGCGUGAGGGAGGAAGGCCGCGUGGGGGAAGAGGGCCUUCGGGUGGUAAGAACCUUUCGGCAGGAACACAGCGUGUUUGUGACGGUACCUGGAGAAGAAGCACCGGCUAACUACGUG
rnacentral:rRNA from 1 species